rnacentral:rRNA from 1 species
GAUGAACGCUGGCGGCGUGCCUAAUACAUGCAAGUCGAGCGAACAGACGAGGAGCUCGCUCCUCUGACGUUAGCGGCGGACGGGUGAGUAACACGUGGAUAACCUACCUAUAAGACUGGGAUAACUUCGGGAAACCGGAGCUAAUACCGGAUAAUAUAUUGAACCGCAUGGUUCAAUAGUGAAAGACGGUUUUGCUGUCACUUAUAGAUGGAUCCGCGCCGCAUUAGCUAGUUGGUAAGGUAACGGCUUACCAAGGCGACGAUGCGUAGCCGACCUGAGAGGGUGAUCGGCCACACUGGAACUGAGACACGGUCCAGACUCCUACGGGAGGCAGCAGUAGGGAAUCUUCCGCAAUGGGCGAAAGCCUGACGGAGCAACGCCGCGUGAGUGAUGAAGGUCUUCGGAUCGUAAAACUCUGUUAUUAGGGAAGAACAAAUGUGUAAGUAACUAUGCACGUCUUGACGGUACCUAAUCAGAAAGCCACGGCUAACUACGUG